GAUGAACGCUGGCUACAGGCUUAACACAUGCAAGUCGAGGGGAAACGCCGGGGAAGCUUGCUUCCCCGGGCGUCGGCCGGCGCACGGGUGAGUAACGCGUAUCCAACCUGCCUCUGACUGAGGGUUAACCCGUCGAAAGUCGGCCUAAUACCUCAUUGCCUCUUCUGCGGGCAUCCAACGACGUUUAAAGAUUUCUUCGUUCAGUGAUGGGGUUGCGUCUGUUUAGCUAGUUGGCGGGGUAACGGCCCACCAAGGCGACGAUCAGUAGGGUUUCUGAGAGGAAGGGCCACCAGAAUGGAACUGAGAAAAGGACGAAAGACCGACGGGAGGGAGCAGUAAGGAAUAUUGAAGAAGGGAAGAGAGCAUGAAACAGCCAAGUAGGGUGCAGGAAGACGGCGCUAGGGGUGGUAAACUGCUGUUAAGAGGGGAUAAAGUGAGGGAAGUGACAUUCAUUGCAGGUAACGAAUGAAUAAGGACCGGCUAAUUCCGUG
rnacentral:rRNA from 1 species